ACGAUUUAAAACAUCCCAAGAUUUUUUUUGAGUCGGAAUCAAUCUUACUUCAUGCCUAAGUCAUUUUCCGUAAAUCACAAAGAAAAUAAGUCCAUUCGACAAUACAUUUUAAAACAUUCUAAACCAAGCACAACAAAACUGAAAAUUGUUUUCUUUUGUACCUCAAGUCCAAAACACCCCGUGUUCUGAAACUCCAUAAGCUCAAAAAAUCAGCACACUUUGAACAACUUCCAACAACAAUGGCAAGAUUUUUCCCCUUCAAGAAUCUCUCCAUUCCACCUAAAUCAAGAACCCCAACAACCCAUUUCCACCCUUGUAACCCCACAGACAAACAAGUAGAAACUCUUUACAACAUCAUCACAACAACACAAACUCCACAACUCCUCAAAAACUCACUCAAAUCCUCACAAAUCAAACUAACAAACGACUUAAUUGACAAAGUCCUUAAAAGGGUACGUUUUUCUCAUUCCAACUCAUUACAAGCACUUGAAUUCUUUAACUAUGCUAAUAAGCCAAAAGGGUUUUUUCAUACUGAAUUUUCUUUAAAUACGAUGUUGUAUGUACUAGGUAGAAGUCGUAAAUUCGAUAAGAUUUGGGAGGUUUUAGUUGAUAUGAAGAGAAAAGAUCAAUCUUGUAUAACACCCAAGACAGUUCAGGUUGUGUUGGGGAGAGUAGCUAAGGUGUGUUCAGUUAGGGAAACUGUUGAGUGCUUUUGGGGUUUCAAGAAAAUGGUUAAGGAGUUUGGGGUUGAUUGUUUUAAUGCAUUGUUGAGGAGUUUGUGUCAGGAGAAGAGUAUGAGUGAUGCUAGGAAUGUGUAUCAUAGGUUGAAGUAUACGUUUAGGCCGAAUAUUCAGACGUUUAAUGUGCUUUUGUCGGGUUGGAAGUCGUGUGAGGAUGCGGAGGGUUUUUUUAAGGAGAUGAAGGAGUUGGGCGUUGAACCGGAUGUUGUUUCGUUUAAUUGUUUGGUGGAUGUGUAUUGUAAAGGGAGAGAGAUGGAGAAGGCGUAUAGGGUGGUGGAGGAGAUGAGAGGAAAGGAUAUUGAUCCGGAUGUGAUAACUUAUACGAGUUUGAUUGGGGGGUUGGGGUUGGUUGGACAACCGGAUAAGGCGAGGCAUGUUUUGAAGGAGAUGAGGGAGUAUGGAUGUUAUCCGGAUGCGGCUGCUUAUAAUGCUGCAAUUAGGAACUUUUGCAUUGCGAAGAGGAUUGGGGAUGCGUAUAGUUUGAUGGAUGAUAUGGUUAGAAAUGGGUUGAGCCCUAAUGCUACUACUUAUAAUGUGUUCUUGAGGUCGUUUUUUUGGAUAAAUGAUUUGAGAAGUUCGUGGACUUUGUACCAGAGGAUGAAGGAGACUGGAUGUUUACUGAGUACACAGUCAUGUAUGUUUUUGAUUAGGUUGAUCAGGAGACACGAGAAAGUGGAGAUGGCAAUUGAGUUGUGGGACGACAUGAUUGAGAGAGGAUUUGGCUCAUAUAUUUUGGUAUCUGAUGUUUUGUUUGAUUUGCUUUGUGAUCUGGGAAAGUUGACGGAGGCAGAAAGAUGUUUCUUUCAAAUGGUAGAUAAAGGACAAAAACCAAGUAAUGUUUCUUUUAGGAGGAUCAAGGUGCUUAUGGAAUUGACUAAUAAACCGGAGGCUCUUAAGAUUUUGUCAGAAAAGAUGGCUGCUUUUGGUUCCUCCACACAACUGAUCCAAGAGGAUAAAGCGGAACAUGAACAAUCAAGUUCCGACUUUGCAACCAACUGAAUGCUGACUCUGAUUCCGGUACCUCACUAAUGUCCGAUAAGUUUUUCGGUCCUCAACCUGAUGCAUUGGUUUAAUUAUGUAGCAUAGUCAAUGUUGCAGACCUCUAAUCAAGAACUCUACAAAUGAGGUUAUUCAUCAAGACUUGGGGAAGCUGUCCCACAAAUAUUGUCAAGGGCCCAUCAGAGACAACCUCUCUACCGUCACAGGGUACGGGUAAGGCUGCGUAUGCACCACCCUCCCCAAACCCCACUUGUGGGAUUACUCGGGAAAUGUUGUUGUAUAUUGACACCUUUUAUUUCUCUAUUCAGAUGAAACCAGACACGAGUUAUUUUCUUUUUGCAAGGGAGGACACUACGCACGGUUAAGAACUUGGUGGAUAAUGGGCUCACCUGUUUAUCCAUCUUCACUUACAUAUCUGGCUUUUAUCCACUGGAUGAUCCAAACUCGUGAUGUGCACCUAACUCACACAUCAGGUGUUGCGCUCUUACUGCUAUAACAAGGCCUUUAACUCAUUUGUUGAUGUUGUAAAGUACUAUGGAGUACAACAGUGUGCUUGAAAAUGUUGAUCACCAACUCAGUACUUCCAUGUAUAAUAUUUUUACUGUACGGCAGUACUUGAAUUAGCCUUUCUAAGGUACUUAAAUUUGUGCUUGGUGGUGAGCGAGGAAAAACCAACCUUGUAACUUGUACGUGUUCAUGGCGAUAAAACAAACAAUACAUUCAUGAUACCGCGCAAAAA